rnacentral:rRNA from 1 species
AGCAGCCGCGGUAAUUCCAGCUCCAAUAGCGUAUAUUAAAGUUGUUGCAGUUAAAAAGCUCGUAGUUGAAUUUCGGGGUUAGUAGGUUGGUCAUGCCUCUGGUAUGUACUGGUCUCACUGAUUCCUCCUUCCUGAUGAACCUUAAUGCCAUUAAUUUGGUGUUUUGGGGAAUUUGGACUGUUACCUUGAAAAAUUAGAGUGUUUAAAGCAAGCUAACGCUUGAAUACAUUAGCACGGAAUAAUGAAAUAGGACGUUCGAUCCUAUUUUGUUGGUUUCUAGGAUUGACGUAAUGAUUAAUAGGGAUAGUUGGGGGCAUUAGUAUUCAAUUGUCAGAGGUGAAAUUCUUGGAUUUAUUGAAGACUAACUACUGCGAAAGCAUUUGCCAAGGAUGUUUUCAUUAAUCAAGAACGAAAGUUAGGGGAUCGAAGACGAUCAGAUACCGUCGUAGUCUCAACCAUAAACGAUGCCGAACCAGGGAUCAGUGGAUGUUGCUUUUAGGACUCCACUGGCACCUUA